CAGCCGCCGCGGUAACACCAGCCCCUCGAGUGGUGGGGAUGAUUAUUGGGCCUAAAGCAUCCGUAGCCGGCUCUGUAAGUUUUCGGUUAAAUCUGUACGCUCAACGUACAGGCUGCCGGGAAUACUGCAGAGCUAGGGAGUGGGAGAGGUAGACGGUACUCGGUAGGAAGGGGUAAAAUCCUUUGAUCUAUUGAUGACCACCUGUGGCGAAGGCGGUCUACCAGAACACGUCCGACGGUGAGGGAUGAAAGCUGGGGGAGCAAACCGGAUUAGAUACCCGGGUAGUCCCAGCUGUAAACUAUGCAAACUCAGUGAUGCAUUGGCUUGUGGCCAAUGCAGUGCUGCAGGGAAGCCGUUAAGUUUGCCGCCUGGGAAGUACGUACGCAAGUAUGAAACUUAAAGGAAUUGGCUGGGGAGCAC
rnacentral:rRNA from 2 species